rnacentral:rRNA from 1 species
CCUACGGGUGGCAGCAGUCGAGAAUCAUUCACAAUGGGGGAAACCCUGAUGGGGCGACGCCGCGUGGGGGAAUGAAGGUCUGCGGAUUGUAAACCCCUGUCAUGUGGGAGCAAAUUAAAAAGAUAGUACCACAAGAGGAAGAGACGGCUAACUCUGGGCCAGAAGCCGCGGUAAUACAGAGGGGUCAAGCGUUGUUCGGAAUCACUGGGCGUAAAGGGUGUGUAGGCUGUUUCGUAAGUCGUGUGUGAAAGGCGCGGGCUCAACCCGCGGACGGCACCUGAUACUGCGAGACUAGAGUAAUGGAGGGGGAACCGGAAUUCUCGGUGUAGCCGUGAAAUGCGUAGAUAUCGAGAGGAACACUCGUGGCGAAGGCGGGUUCCUGGACAUUAACUGACGCUGAGGCACGAAAGCCAGGGGAGCGAACAGGAUUAGAUACCCCAGUAGUC